rnacentral:tRNA from 1 species
AUUUAUAUAGUUUAAUAAAAACAUUUUAUUUUCAUUAAAAAAAAGAAUAAAUAUUCUAUAAAUU